CGUUCUAUGGUGUAAUGGUGAGCACUCUGGACUCUGAAUCCAGCGAUCCGAGUUCGAGUCUCGGUAGAACCU
rnacentral:tRNA from 1 species